AGAGUACGAAAAAGAAUACACUAAAAUCGAUAUUAACGCACAAUGAUGCCGAUACAGUUAGGUUAGAAAACCAUAACAGAUGGUCAGAAUAGUCGAAAAUUUCAAGCUUUAGUGCAAAAAUCUAAACAAGGAACUUUCUUUGGACUCAGUCGAUCAUAUUGUAUUGUUAUUAACGAUAGAAGGAGUGAGGUGGAAUUCUUGUAGGCCGCAGCGGUUUUUAAACUUUUGAUGCACACGGAUUUUUG